UGAGUCAAUCACACACUCUAGAUCCAGCCAUCCCUGAAAAAACUCCAUCUGUGACUGCAUGAGGCUUUGAGAGGCCAUUUAGUCACAGGCCAUAACAAUCAAUGACUAUGUGGGCAAUUCCUCGUUCACCCUGCCAUCUAGUUCCUAGACCUCUUCAAAUAUAGCAACUCUUAUCUCUGCUGCAUUUAAAUCCAUUGACCCAUCCAAACAGCCUGGCUUUUGUCAUCAUCUAACUGCCCCAUCUCUGAGAUCUUAACCUGUCUCAGUUUUCCUACCUACAGGUCAGCUAUGGCAUAUCAAGACAUAACUCCAGUUCUACCUCUAGUUACAGCUAAAACCUCAAUGGUCUCAUGAUCCUCCAACACUCCAGGGCAGAAUUACAUCAACUGAAGACAUCCUUGUUCUUAGAAAACUGAGUAGUAAGAGAAAGGUUGCAUGUGGGGACGGACAAAUUCCU
rnacentral:lncRNA from 1 species